GACGGAGGAUGCAAGUGUUAUCCGGAAUCACUGGGCGUAAAGCGUCUGUAGGUGGUCAAAUAAGUCAACUGUUAAAUCUUGAGGCUCAACCUCAAAAUCGCAGUCGAAACUAUUAGACUAGAGUAUAGUAGGGGUAAAGGGAAUUUCCAGUGGAGCGGUGAAAUGCGUAGAUAUCGGAAGGAACACCAGUGGCGAAAGCGGCUUCCUGGUCCAGCACCGACGUUCAGGCACGAAAGCGUGGGGAGCAAACAGG
rnacentral:rRNA from 1 species